GCAGGGUGUAAUGCAUUCGGUUGUCAAUCAGCACUUCACCUAGGUAAAGUCUCUCUCCUGUCUGGUGAUUUACAGAGGCUCACAAUGCAACUAGUCGGAUAUUAACCCAGGCAGAAACUAUCAAGCAUUUAAUGAAGUCUAAACAUGUUCUUAUAGUCCUAAUACCUGUUUUGACAAUACUAACACAGGCUACAGAUUAACGUCCACGUUUUGCUCCAGAUCAUCCCGUCCUCCCAGGGGGAAGGAAAUGGCUGCAAUGGAGCUGGCUCAGGGGCCGGUGACCUUCGAGGAGGUGGCUGUGUAUUUCACCAAGGGGGAAUGGGCACUACUGGACUCUGUUCACAGAGCCCUCUACAGGGAUGUCAUGCAGGAGAACUAUGAGACGGUGACCUCGCUGGGGUUUCUAAAUUCCAAACCUGAUGUGGUCUCACAGCUGGAACGAGGGGAAGAGCCGUG